rnacentral:rRNA from 1 species
CCUACGGGAGGCUGCAGUAGGGAAGAUUGCUCAAUGGGGGAAACCCUGAAGCAGCAACGCCGCGUGGAGGAUGAAGGUUUUCGGAUGGUAAACGCCUUGUGUUAGAGAAGACAAUUACGGUAUCUAACGAAUAAUCACCGGCCAACUCCGUGCCAGCCGCCGCGGUAAUACGGAGGGUGCAAGCGUUAUCCGGAAUCACUGGGCGUAAAGAGCGCGUAGGCGGGAUAGCAAGUCAGAUGUGAAAUCCUAUGGCUUAACCAUAGAACUGCAUUUGAAACUGUUAUUCUAGAGUAUGGGAGAGGUAGGUGGAAUUCUUGGUGUAGGGGUCAAAUCCGUAGAGAUCACGAGGAAUACUCAUUGCGAAGGCGACCUGCUAGAACAUAACUGACGCUGAUGCGCGAAAGCGUGGGGAGCAAACAGGAUUAGAUACCCGUGUAGUC